AGAGUUUGAUCCUGGCUCAGAUUGAACGCUGGCGGCAUGCCUUACACAUGCAAGUCGAACGGUAACGGGCCUUCGGGUGCCGACGAGUGGCGAACGGGUGAGUAAUGUAUCGGAACGUACCAUUGAGUGGGGGAUAACGUAGCGAAAGUUACGCUAAUACCGCAUAUUCUCUCCGGAGGAAAGCAGGGGACCGCAAGGCCUUGCGCUCUUUGAGCGGCCGAUAUCAGAUUAGCUAGUUGGUGGGGUAAAAGCCUACCAAGGCGACGAUCUGUAGCGGGUCUGAGAGGAUGAUCCGCCACACUGGAACUGAGACACGGUCCAGACUCCUACGGGAGGCAGCAGUGGGGAAUUUUGGACAAUGGGGGCAACCCUGAUCCAGCCAUGCCGCGUGAGUGAAGAAGGCCUUCGGGUUGUAAAGCUCUUUCAGCCGGGAAGAAAUCGCAUGGGUUAAUACCCUGUGCGGAUGACGGUACCGGAAUAAGAAGCACCGGCUAACUACGUGCCAGCAGCCGCGGUAAUACGUAGGGUGCGAGCGUUAAUCGGAAUUACUGGGCGUAAAGCGUGCGCAGGCGGUUUGUUAAGAUAGGCGUGAAAUCCCCGGGCUCAACCUGGGAACUGCGCUUAUGACUGGCAAGCUAGAGUAUGGCAGAGGGGGGUGGAAUUCCACGUGUAGCAGUGAAAUGCGUAGAGAUGUGGAGGAACACCGAUGGCGAAGGCAGCCCCCUGGGCCAAUACUGACGCUCAUGCACGAAAGCGUGGGGAGCAAACAGGAUUAGAUACCCUGGUAGUCCACGCCCUAAACGAUGUCAACUAGGUGUUGGGUGGGUAAAACCAUUUAGUACCGGAGCUAACGCGUGAAGUUGACCGCCUGGGGAGUACGGCCGCAAGGUUAAAACUCAAAGGAAUUGACGG
rnacentral:rRNA from 1 species